CUAUCUUUCGCCACUGCCCACAAACACGCCCAGUUCUUCGGGCACCCCUUAAUGUCCCGUUCCCCGAGCUCAGUCCUUUGGUUGUAGCUGCUCAAAAGUAAGUCACACGGGCCUCUGGCUGCCUUAGGUUAGAAUAGAAUGAAUGAGCUGGAAGGGACCUUGGAGGUCUUCUAGUCCAGCCCCCUGCUCAAGCAGGAGAACCUAUACCAGGAUUGCAUCUUCGCCUCUCAGCCGGUUCAAUAAAACGGGUCUUAUAAUUGAAUUCCAAAUGCCUUUUAUGCUUAAAUGUUAAUCUUGCUGCUGUGUUUUUUUUUCCUCAGAAUGCACUUCCCUUUUAAUUUUGAAGUCUCUGUUUCCUUGAUAGGGUUGCUAUGAAGAUAUGCUGAAAUAUGGAUAUCAAGUGGCGCAGAUACGAAUUUGAAGUAUUUCCGUUAAAAAUAUAAAAUCAGUAAAUAUCAAGUAUUUGCAUUAAGUCGGCAGUCGGGAAAUAUGCUGCCUGCUAGUACUUGGUAGAGCAGCGAAGGCCUUGCAAAAGAAGUGAACCCAGCUGGUUUCAGUGCAGAGUAUUUUCUAGGUAAGUAUGCAUGUGGCCCAAACUGCACGUUUCUGUUCUUAAUAGGAUUCUAGGCAGCCCCAUUGUAUGAUAGAGUUUAUCAGCUGUGUGACAGGAUAGAAUAGAUUUUACUGGGGUUGCAGAUGAAAUUUUGUUUAAUAUGUUGUUUGUGUACAUACUGCUGACGUAUAGUGGCAUGAUUAGUGUUGUAAUUGUUAGUAUUGGAUAACAGAAGUUUCUAAUCUGAACUUGUCAUCUGACUCAGAAUGAAUAAACAGGAUUCAGCACCUAUGGCAACCAAAGUAUUUCGCAAACUUCAGAGCCAUAUGCUGAUAGACACAUGAAUUGCUGAGAAGAAAAUCAUUAUUUCACAUAUAGUCAUUGGUUGUCAAGAAUAUAAAAUAAAUAAUAUUUAAAGCUUCAGGGCUAUAGCAAAUCUAUAGACUUUCCAGUCCAAUGUUUUUACAAGAUUCCCAAAUCUUCUGUUUUGAAAUAUUCAAUACAGAGUAGAAUAAGACCACUGAAAACCUGCAUGAACCAAAAUGUUAUGAACACUGUGGAAAUCUUUUUUUCUUGUUUCAUUGAAAAAAACUAUGUCAAUUUUGUACUUUUUCAUGAUUUAUAACUGUUCUCCAGUCUGGUAUUCUACAUGUAUAUUGGAUCAUAAGUAUGUUUGGUUGAGUGUAAUAUCCAUGCCCAGAGGUUACCAAUUUGGAGAAGACUGAUUUAUGGGGUACUUCUUAAUUUUUUUAAUUCCUAGAAAUAGCAGUAUAACACUUGCCCUAUUUACAUUUAAAAAUUAGUAAUAUCUUUAAAAUAUCUCCAAAAUAUACUUAAAGCAAAAUAAUAUUUUAAAAGUAUCAUUACCAUUUUUUCCUUCAAGUAAAAUGAGACCGAUGGAAUUUUGACAUGAUGAAAAUUCCACAGAGAAAUUAGCGGUAAGAAAAUUUCAUCAACUAUAAAGUGAACUCACCCUCCAAUGUUGAGUAUAUACAGUCAUUUAGACUAUAUCAAAUGCAAAAACUUGAUUGAAUGCACUAUAACUUCUGAAGUCUGCAUAGUGCAGUAUAAUGGUUUUACUUAUGAGAUGGAGGGAAUUUGGAUAAGUGAUUUUGGUUCAACGAAUACAAGAGAUUAAGGCAGCUAUUAAAACACAAGGAAAACAAAACUACUGGAAGUUAUUACCAGUAUAUACAAACACAGCAUGUUUUAAAGAUCGUCAAAAUAAUCUUAUGAUUUAUUUAAUUGAAUUUCAACAGGGAACUUCUUGACUUUGUUGCAAAGAGACAGCUUUAGUAUAGUAUUAGCUAUAUUUUUUCUUAAGGUUCAUAGGGGCCCUUUGCUGUACCUUGAACAAGCGUGGGAAUAUUAUAUUACAGUCUAAGAUCAGAUAACAAAAAUUAAAAUAACCACAUGCAAUCAGAAUAUAGGGAAAUCUUGUUAAUUAAAUAGAUAUAAGUAGUCCUCACAUUACAACCACUCAUUCAGCAACCAUCCAAACUUAAGUGGUGCGGAACAAAUUGUAGUUAUGACUAGUUCUUGCAACACCUCCACAAGCACAUAAUUGCAAUCCAGGUGCUUGGCAAAUGAUCUAGAGUUUUGACUGUUACAGAUCCUUGCAAUACAUAAUCAUGGUUUCUGAUCUUUCCUGCCAGCUGCCCAUAAGCAAAUUCAAUGGGGAAGCCAGUAAAGAGUUGGAAGUUUCAAUUAUAUGAGAUCCUUGCUUAAGGAUUUGCAGUGAUUUGCUUAACAGUGGCAACUGGAGAGUGCUGGGUAAGUCAUGUGGCCAUGUAACAUUGUGCUUUACAACCAUAUUGCUUAGCAAGGAAAAUUCUGCUCCCAAUUAUCAGUUGUUAAGCACAGAUUACCACCUACUAAUAUUAUCAGGUCUAAACAUAGCAAGCCUUGUGACAUGGGUAUAGAAUUUAGCAAAUAUAUAGUGAUUUCAGAGUACUAUGUUGAGAAAAAUUCUAAAUGCCAUUGGUUAGAAUAAUCAAGCAGUCUUAUUUGUUCUAGAUUAGUUGAGAGAAUAAUUUCUUGUAAAAUCUACACCUCAGAAAGACCAAUUCUAAAGUUUCAAUUUCUUCAGAGGCACUGGAGUAUGAUCAGUGCAAAAGGUAUCUGAUAAUAUAGUUGCAUCCAUACUGUGUUUCCCUGAAAAUAAGACCCUAUCUUACAUUUUUUUGAACCCCAAAAUAAGCACUUGGCCUUAUUUUUUGGGAGGUCUUAUUAUUUUGGGGCACAUGGAGCAAGAUGGGGCUCCUCUUGUUGUCUUACUUGAUUCCCAGCUCUGCGUUUAAAUAUUUUCGGGGAGGGCUUAUUUUGGGGGGAGGGUUAUUUUAGCGCAUGCGCUCAAAAGCCUGAUUGGCCUUAUUAUCAGGGGAUGUAUUACUUUUGGGGAAACAGGGUAAAUGCAGAGGAAAAGGUACUGUAGUGAAUUCGGGAAAAGGCUUAGUGACAUUGGGAAUAGGAUAACAGUUUCUGCGAUUCAUUGCAAGGUUGUAUAACCUUGGGGCAAGGUUAUUCUGCAACAGAUUUAAUAUGGGUACCAUACGUGCAAGUGCUUUCCCUAAUUUCCUUUGAAGCAAUUUAUAUAUUUUGCAAUCCACAAGAGGAAAGAGUGGAAUAUAGUAUCCUAUGGCAUUUAUUUGCUGUUAGAUGACCUUCCAAUAUAUCCAUCUGCUUGCAGUUUUGAAGGAGAGGCCAAAUAUUUUCUUUCAAGCAAAUCUGUUUAUAAUUAGUUACGCUGGGACACUGGCAUAACAACUAGGAUAUUGUAGUUAAGCAUUUGUGGGUAGGUAUCUCAGAUGGCUGUUUAAAAAGGUAACCUGAAGUGUCUCUCACUGGGCAGCAAACAUACAAUAAUUACCUCUUGACCAUAACACUAAUCCUAUUAAAGUCUUUUGCAAACUGAAAUCCUGAGGUAGAAUUUUACUUAAUACAAUAGAACCUCUGGUCACGAACACUUCUAACCACGAUCAAAUCGGGUUCCAACCUAAAAAUUCACAUUUUUUUUUCGCGGCUGAUUUAGCUUCCCCACCAUGUUUUUUGUAAGCUCCAAAUUUCCAAAAUUAGGUUUGGGUCACAACCAAGUUAUGGAACGAAUUAUGGUCGUGACCAGAGGUUCUACUGUAUAUGGUACAUAGAAACCCAGACAUAUUUAUUUUUUUUGUAUGCUUGUAUUAGACAUUCCUAAUGAAAAGACUUCUGAGAAAAAUCCUGUGUAAUCUAGGUUAUAGUAGAUAUCUAGGCUGUGUUAGAUGACGCACAUUUUAAUGACAUUUUCAUAGUAAAGUAUAUGGCUGGUUUAAACCCUUUAGGAAAAAGGACGUACUAUCUCAAAUCAGAAAAUAUCAAUACAGGUAGUCCUUGACUUAGAACCAUUCAUUUAUUGACCAAAGUUACACCGUCCCUGAAAAAACAUAUGACCAUUUUUCACACUUACUACCAUUGUAGCAUCCCCAUGGUCACAUGAUUUACUAUCAGAUGCUUGGUAACUGACUCAUAUUUAUGGCUGCUGCAGUAUCCUGAGAUCAUGUGAUCAGCUUUUGCAAUCUUGACAAUCAAAGUCAAUGGGGAAAUCAGUUUCACUUAACGACGUUUCUAAUUUAACAACUGCAGUGAUCCACUUAAUAAAUGCGGCAAGAAAAGUCGUAAAAUGGGGCAAAACUCAACAAAUUUCUCACCAUAAAUUUUGGGCUCAACUGUGGUCAUAAGUUGAGGACUACCAGUAUGCCCUCAUAUUUUUUUUGUCCAAUUAAAAACAUACUUUUAUAAUAAAUAGGCUGGUUGAAUGCCACAAACCAUCAGCAUCAUUAUUAUAAUGUCUUUGGGAUCUGUAAGUGUCUCACUGGGAUGGUGGGUGUAUAUGGAGAAUAUUUUGUUUUCUGGUUAAAAGAUUGGUAUGGGUGAAUAUCAGCAAGCCAAGUAGGAAAUAUAGUGGAAGUCUUGACCUAGUAUCUGGAAUCAUGAGGGGUUUAAUAGAGAGAAAUAGACUUAUGUUCAGUUAUGGAAACAUGGGGAAAAUAUUGAUUCAAAAGCUACUAAUUUCAGUACAGAUUCAUCAUUGACUAUUUUUUGCUCUGGGUUAAACAUAAUCAAAAUCUCCAACUGUUCCCCUUACAUGUUUCUUAUUUUGGUUGUUCUUUUUUGGAUAUACUCCAUUUGUCAAUGUAUUUAAUGUGCAGUGCUCAGAACAGAACACAAUAUUCCAGGUCUUGCUUAAUCAAUGCAAACUAGAGAAUAGGACAUUUCUUGAUCUUGAUACUAUAUUUCCAUGCCCAGAUUGUAUUUAUUUUCUUUAUUUUAAUUAUUUCUUUCUUUGCAACUGCAUUACAUUUUUGGUAGUUGUAAACAUGAAAGGAAGACUGCAUACCAUACAGUUAUUUUUGGUUUGCUAUUGCAAUUAUCAAACACAAAAAGACUUUAUAAAGCACAAUUCACCUCAGUGAUCCUAAUUGGUAUUGUAUAUGACCUAUAAACUGAUCUUCAGUCAAUGGCAUACCACCAAUAACAAAGGCUCAUAAAUACUAAAAAUAAAUGCAUUGUUUAUAAUAUAUCUAUAUAUGUAUUUCAUGGCUAAUAUAUGUUGCAGGGAUGAAGACAUCAUGGAAGAUCGGUACUUAUUUGUUCACUAUUUUUAGUACUUCUGCUCAGUGAUGCAGAACUUGAAAUUAGUCUUUGGCCCUAAUAAUUUUACUGGAGCUUAAUGAUCUUACAGGGAAAAGGAUUCUUUAGACAGCAGUAUUUAGUUCACCCACAACACAGUCAUCUAUCUAUUUACCCAGAAAAAACACUGUUCCACUUAGCAGAAGGAUCAUUUGGAAAAUAUCCUCGUUAUGCUGAGCAGGGCCCCCAAAAAUCUACCCUUGAACGUUACCGUGUUUAUCUAGCACAGCAAUUUAGUAGAUGAGAACACUUAAACAGUAUAUUACAAUGUAUGAAUAAUAUCCUAAGUUGAGCCAAAUGCUUUUGGAAAAUUAAAAAAAAAAUAUAAAAAAAGAAAAAAGAUUACUAUUUAAUAUGCAGGUGGAUGUAAAAUUGUUAUUAUUAGGAACUGUUACUAAUAUAGUUUGGUUUAUUUUAGGAGCAGACAGUAAAAAUAAUAUGUAUGGAAAUGUCUUAUGUCUGAUAGGAUAUGUACUUAUGAGCAGACCCACUGAAAUAAAUGGAAUUUAAAAUAACUCAAAA